UGCGUGUCUGAGCCCACACGGCUGCACCCCGGCUUGGCACGGCAGGAUGAAGGUGGCUGAAGGCUGGGUCCCCUGCAAGCGGUUGUCAGACCAGUUACAAGCUGAUUGGCAAAUGUGUCUCACAAAUGAUGCUGUACAGGAACAGCUGCUCCUGGCUUUGCAUGCAAGCACCUCGCCAGGAACGUUGAGUGGCUGGUGGAUAACUGGAUUGAUAAACCAGAUGAAGCCAGAGUGAUGGAACUGGAGAAAAAGGGUUUUGGCUGAUGGUGAAGUCGGGUAACAGCUAGGACAGCAGGAAUCAACAUAAAGCCUGUUGUACCUGAUGCUGGACUACAAGUGCUGCCAGUCACUUCUGCAUAAUUAAUUACUGCUGUACACAUUAUGCUUGACCUCUGACAGAGGAAGAGCAUGUGUUUGCAUCUUAAUUAACAAAAACGUUGCAUCUGUCACAGUGAGGGAAAACAACAUCUGAGCUGUGGGCAUGGGGCUUCCCUGCCUCUUGAGCUCACAGCCAGUCAGGCAGUCACCUGCAAUUUGUCUGAUGGGAAAUUGAAGCUGUGAUGGGAUGUAAUUGAAAAACACAGUUCCUAUCACUGCCAGCUGGACCAGAACUGACUGACUGCACAGCAGGAGCUGCAAAUCAAAAUGAAGAGGAUGAAAAGGGACUUCAAGGAGAAAGUGCUUGAUGCACAUGGUGAGGAGAUCCCAGGUGUGGAGAAACAGCAAAUGGCUGCAGAGAAGCAGGAACCGGAAAUCCUCCGGUUUGAGUGAGGAGGUCAAUGGGCUGAAAAAAAAAACAACUUGAGGACACCGAGAGAAAUGCCUCCUGCUGCUUCACAUCCAGGCACUGCAGGGCUCGUCCAGCCACCACCAGCACCUCCACUGCCAGGGAGCUCCAGCACCCCUCUGCCUCCACCAGGAGUGGCCCUUCAACUGGCUUCGGAUUCAGGGCAGCCUCCGCACCUCGGGUGCGUCCCUGGGGAUUGUCCCCACAGCAGGUUCGUGAGCCAGCAGUACAGCUGCAGAGACCGAACUGGACCAAGCAAAAUGAAGGCUGUUGCUGGCUUCUGAGCAGCUGAAAGAUGUGGCCUUGUUUUCAGAACCAAGAGAGGUCUGCAAGGGCAGUGAGAAAACAAGAGACGGAGGCAUCCUUGAGGAGACCACGGAGAUUGUCAGCUGCUCGAGCAGGACAUUGUGCCUGGGCAAAGGCAGAAACCAGUUGGACUGCCAGACUCCCAUGGCCAACCUUCAGUGUGCCCUGGCACUGCCCCAAGGGCAGGGACAUUGCAGCCCUCCUGCUCUUGGGGUGAGCAAAUAGAGCAGAGGGUAGAGACACAGCCCAGCCCCCCCAGCUCUUUUUGGGGCGCGGAGCAGAGGUGCUGGAAGCUGCCUCAACCCUGACCUGUUCGGGUAUUUCAGGAUGCGCUGCUGAGCCGGGCCAGCCCCAGCUUUGCUGCUGCAGGCGGCUCCUCCAGCAGUGCUGGUGGCUCCUGCCUUCUUCCAUCCUUGCCUCCCUGUGGGGAGAAACCCUCAGGUCAGUUAAUCUGGGCCCUUGCUCCUCCGAAUGCUGGAGCAUUGCUGCACCAGCACCUUAUGGUGCGCCUCGUUCCCCUCCUGCAGGGAAGGAAGCUGGGGCCAGAGCACCGUGCUGUGCUCAGCUGCACGGGCACCGGGGGGCUGCCUGCCCAGACCCCCAGCCCCACGGCUGGAGGAGCUGCCCUGCAGGGGCUCUCCAUCCUGGCACAACGCCUGGGCUCUGCUCUGCUCUGCUCGUAUCCCCCCCCUUGUCAGCACCUUCUGUGCCCUGCACCCAUGGUGCAGCUCCGCAGCUCCCAGGCGCUGCGUUUUGUUGUUGCUUUAACUCAGCAUAUUUGUAGCGGUGAGGUAAUGGAGCCAUCCAUAACAGCCUGGCUGCUGUCGCACCCAAGAGCAGAAAUAUUCCAUCCUGCGUGGACGGGGCUUGGCAGGCGCGUGCGGCGCGGGGUCAGGCACUGGGCGAGCGCCGCGCGGUGACUCAGGCUGCCCGCGGGGCACUGCCCGCUCCGGGAUGCGGGUCCGCAAAGCUUGUCCCCUCAUGGUGCUUCUGGCUCAGGUCACGCCGAGCCUCCCAGUUUUUUCAUUUGACUCUGAUUUUAGUACAUUUAGUAAAGGGAAACUCUGUUUUGGGGUUGUUCUGGGUCUUCCUGGGGCUUGUUAGCCCAUUAUGGGCUACAAAUGCUAAUAAAGAUUUAGGACAGCACGGGCAAGCACGUGUCCCCGAGCCAGGUCAGCCUGUGCGCUUAGUCGGGCACUUUGUGCAGGGCCUGACGUCUGCUCGCUGCUUUGCUCUGUGUCCAUUAGCCCUGUCCCUGUCCAGGUCCUGGCUCUGGCGUGCAAACCCAGCGGUGUGUGAACCAGAGACAACAACAGCUGGGGAGCUGGUGCGCUGCGGAUGGGCCCUUGGGGAGAGAGAGACGUGCCUGCAUGCAAGAGGUUUUCACUUGAAAGAGGGAAAUGCUGAUUGCAGAGGAGGGAGGAAGGGCUCCUGCUCAGCCUCCAGCAGCAGAGGGGCAGCAGGGUGCUGACCAGAGGUGGUGGCACCGCCAUGCUCAGGGCUGGGUGCUCCAUGAGCCUGCUAGAAGCAAGGCUUGGACCCUUCCCUUGCCAGCCACUGCCCCCGGGCAGGGAUGAGGGGGUCAAAGAUUGCGGGUAGGGCAGCUGAGGCAUUGUGCUCUGUUUUCUCAGUGCCUGGGGCAUUGCAGGGCUGCCAGACGUGUCACCCUCGGGUCAGGGCGGGUGCUGCCAGGCUGGUGACUGCGUGGGCAGGGAGGAGUUGCCCUUGCACAGCUAAAUGCCAGUGGCUGCAUUCGGCAGCUCCAGGAAGUUGCAAAAUGAGAGAGAAAUCGGGAUAUGUGAGCUGGAAUCUUGCCCAAAGGCUUUCAUUUAAUUGUAAUGGUUCCCUCUAUAUAAAGUCAUUUUUUGUGGCUUUGCAGCUGUGGACAAGCGAUGCUGUGGCAGCCUCAUGAUACCAUCAGGGUUUGCAAGUGCACCAUAUGGAGAAAUAAACAUUAUUUUUGGUACAAAAUA